UAAGGUCCAAAAAUACUCUUUUUCAACCCAUGAACAGUAAGAAUUUGUGAAUUCUGAUAAUGAAAAGAGAAAAGUUUUCCUCCAGGUAUGUUGGUUUCACAUUCAGUCCUGAAGCCUUGAGCUACGUGUACUUCCCUCACACAAACACACCAGCAGUCUAUGCUCUGCCCGUGCCCAAAACUCAAUGGUUUCUCUCAGCACAGAAGUCAAAAAUGAGAUAUGCCCCUAAUAAAACCCCUUCAAUUCCUGAAAAAGCAUAAUAAAGGCUUAUGUCGCUUCCUUGUUGGAGCUCCUUCAUAAUGCUCCCAACACCUGUGACCCCUGGGAAAACAGGGCACAAGGUAGAUCUGCCCAGGAGUCACAGGAUAAACACCCAUUCUGGAGCCUUCCUCUGUUGUUCUAGAAGAUGUGAUUUGAUUAGUUGGGGCUGGGAGCAGGGGAUAUAUGAUUCUGCGGAAAAAGUAUCAGAUUAUCAAAUCAGGUUUGCCUCUGCUAUAGCCAGUGUGCUGCUGCAUCAAAAGGUAACAAAGGGAAGGUGCAACGUAAGAGCACACACAACCUGAGAUGCCCUUGAGAUCUAGGACAGGAUGGUGCCCUUUCUGUUGUGACCUGACUCUUAAAAGAAAUCUUCUAAAAGAAUUCUUUAAUUUGGUAAUGAGUCGAAGUCCAGGGUAAUGGAAGCUCUAGGGCAGAGAACAAAAGAAUUGCAGAAAUAUAUUCAGCACCAAACAAUGCUAAACCAAGAAACAUCCAAUUACAAAACUAGGAAGUUUGGCAAGAAGUAGUUAGAGAAAUCUCUGAGCUUUUCCAUGGGUAGGUUCGACAGACUCUCUUUUGAGUGAUUUCUGGCUCCGAGAAACCUCUUUACUCACUAGAAAAGAACUUUAUUUAAAUGGCCAUUUUUUUUCCUCAGAAAAAGAAAUUAAGAAAAAUAGGACACUGAAGACAGAACCAUGUGACUUGGUGACAAACAAAAGGAAGGGUGCACUAGAAUUUCAAUAGGCUCCCUAAUUCCAUAGCAAAAGCAAAGCAACCCAAUGCCUCCUGAGCCUGCAGUACAUGAAGAGAGUACUUGAGCUGACCUAGCCACCAGGCUUUCUGGGGCUAGACAUAACUUCCCACUGGAACAGCAGCAGCCUCUUUCCCCUCUUUGUGUUUUCAUGAAGAAAACGGUUGUUCUCUUAGGUACCCAAGAAAUAGAUUACAUGGGGCAAACUUUCAAAAGCAGUCUCUACCCUGGUGCUCGGGCUGCGUAUAGAGGCAGAAAAGGGGCGUAGAAGAGCUCUUGCUCUUGAGAGAGAAUAUUUUCAUAUUCCCAAGGGCUUUCUGUGGAGAGUUGCUAUUUCUGAUGCCACUUAAACCUUUACAAGAGAAAAGGCUGUGGUGACUCAGUGUUCCUGUAAACUCAGAAUGUGAAAAUUACUAAUCCAAAGCAUCAUUUCUAGCACUGAGUAUCAAGAUGAUCAGCCUGACCAAAAUAUUUCAAAGACUCUUCUAAGUCUCUGAAGAUGUUUUUUCUCCUUCAACACUGAGUAUAGCAGUCAGCAGUGUACAUUAGCAGAUCCCUGGGAAUGAUUAUGGAAUGGUAGGGCUUGUUUUCAUGCUUUUUAGAGUGAAGAGGUAAAAAAUGAGGGCUGCAUAUUGUGGGUUCUUUUUCAGAACUAUGUAUUUUCUCCUCACUGAAUGAGGGGUAAAAAUGGCCUGGGUUGAAACAGGAACCAUCAUCUUUCCACAGCACUGACUAAAACACCUGCCAUUCCAGUGGUUUCUUGAGGCCCCACUUGUUGCUCCAUAAACUGUAGACUUUCAUACUAAAAUCUAAUCUUAAGUGACCUCAAUUAAGGUGUUUUCGCAAGAGGCUACUUACUGUAUAGCAUUAUUGCCUUAAAUCAGAAAGCCCUGGGAAGAGGACAAAUGAUAUAGAAAUGAGAAGGCUCUGAAGAUACAGGCAUUUCUUGCUGUUUAAUAGUUAUAUUAUCACAAAAGUAAGCUCUAUUUGUGAUUGAGGACUAUGGAAAUAGUGACUUCUUGGGGAGGCACCAAACUUGUCUAGAACUGGUACUCUCAGAUAGUGGCUGCUAUUUCCUAUUCUAUUUCAGUGAUGUAGGUUGGGCUGAAUGUAAAAUAGACAUCAUAUUACUAAAUAGAAUCCUAUAAAAUGUAAUCACAGGUGCCUGGGAAUACUAGUUUUAAACCUUUCCUUAACAAGGAGAACAAUCCCAGCAAAAAGCUUUCUUUCCCUAUACAGUGUAUAUCUGUAAACUUUUUUUUCCCUCAGUUGUAGAGAGCAUCUCUUUUAUCUGGUGGUUCAUUGUUUAAAUGCAAACUUGUAAGUUUCAAGUCUUCAAUGAAAGAUUAUAAUCUGCAGAUGAUAAUCUAGAGAGAAAAAUCUAGCCACAGUCUUGAGAGUCCAGGCUUCUGGAAUGCCUAAUGAGGGUAUAAAAGUCCCUACUAACCCUUUUUCAAAUUCAGAGGUUUCUUUGGUUCAAAAUGCCUCAAUGAGAUUUUGAUACAUCCAAGAGAGAGAAAGAGAAAAAAACAACAACCUUGGGGGCAUCUGCUUCUACUAGUGUUGCAACAGUUGUUAUUACGCAGCAAAAUCAUUGCAAUUUAUAUGUAGAUUUUAGUAGUGAAAGAGUCCUAACCCACCCAGUAUGUCACCGCUGCUGUCCAAAAUGUCUGUAACUGAGUGUACGUUAUUUAUACGUGCGCACACACAGUGUGAGCUGCUCUCAGCACAAAACUGUUCCACAUUCAUGUUGCCCAGUGACAACAAGAUAGAUUUUUGAAUUUCUGGUUAGGAGUCAAAGGUCUGACAUGUCUCACAUGUCUGCUUCUGCUUUGUUGCCUUAGUUGGGUGCAUGACUAUCUGUGAUGAGAAAUUUAGGGCAAUCUGAAGGAGUCCAACCAUCGGUAAUUUCUAUGUAUCCCUUUCAUGAGAAACUUGAAUAUGUUCACAUGGAGUAGAGUGCAUUUAACAAACUCUGUAGUUCUGCUGGACUUAAUGAUAGGUAUGUGCAUGUGUGUGUUUGCAUGUAUACUUAUUGUCAUCUGGGAGUGUGUGUGCCUCCCAAAUGAAGCACACACAGGCAGAGGUCCUCAUGCAUAGAUACAGUUGCCUCUUUCCACCAUUGUGCUAAAGACUCGUGUGGCUCCCUUCCCAGGAAGCAGUCACCUGCCCACUCUGUUGCUUUUUGUAAUGUUUGAGAAUUGGGAGAAACAAACGCAGCUUGUUGAAUCCACAGCAAACCCACAGGGACAGCCUGUUUUCCUCCAUAAGAAGGUAGAACAGAAGUCUUCGACUGGUGAGCAGACAAGAGGGAGCAGCAAUCCAGGGCACCUCCCCAAGUCUCCUGGAGGUGGGAGCACCAACGCCAGGCAGACAAAGCCCACACAAACUUUGGCCUGAGCCAUCCCAUAGCUCAAAGGCCUUCAUUCCUUUCCUCUAGACAACCCAGUGUGCACACACAUGUGCACACACACACACACACACGAAUUUUAUUCCCAAACUAAAGCUUCCUAAUUCUGCUUGUACUCAAAGGAUACCAUCAUAAUUCACAAACUGUGUCUCCUGAAACCAAUGUGGCCUUUGCCAAAGUCUUUCCAGGAGUGAGUUGUUUACCAUGUCUAGCAAACCAAUAGACCAUUGGGGGGGAAUAUUUUUUAGUAAUCUCUAAGAAUUGAUAGCUCUUGCCCAUCUCAAACAUUAAAGUAGAAUGCCACUCUAGUAUAAUGUACUGAGUGAAUGGACUCUGAAGGCUUGGUGGCCUGGAAUUCAGGAUUCAGUUUUCUCACUCCCAUGCUCUCUUCUUUUACUAAAUGGUUUGUUAUUUUUUAUGAAUUGUAGACUUUACAGAAGUCAGAGGACAUUUUCCUUCCUCUUCUAUUUUGGUGACUUUUCCCCUUCCCCUGUUAAGUAAGGCUACUCACAGUUGCAACUUUUUUGUUGUUAUUACUUUUUUAAAUUGUAUAUUGUCUUUCUAUAUCCAAAAGAAGUCUGUGACUGUAACCAUAGGUAUUUCUUUUUCCUGGAAAAAAACAUAGUCGUUUUGGUUUUUUUUUCUUUUAAUUAACAGUACUAGUGACUUUGUGAAAGAAUAUGAGUUACUAUUUAGGUAUGCUUACUUAAGUACAAUACACUACAUUGCAGUAUUUCUGAAACCUAGGACAUACACAUUAUAUAUAACAAUUUUAUAUUGAAAUAUAUAGCACAUUAUAUUCAUUUUAACUUUUGAAUCUGCCUAUGAUCAUGAGUCGAUUGAAAUGUUAUGUCUUUGCGUAUAUCACCCAUCACCAACCUGCUGCGGUUAACCUGGUGCAUUUAAUAAUCAUCAUUACUGCUCUAAUUUGCUUUUUAUAUUAUCAGCUUCAAUAUUGUCUUUAGAGGAUUUUAGAAUUUUUUAAAGCUCAGACUUAGCAAAUGUAGGAAAGUGAAAACUUUUUUUGAAACUUUUUUGUUGGUUUGACUAAUACAAAGAGGUUCAUAUUCAAAAUGAUCUUGUUUAGCUGACCCACUCAAUAUCUGAAGAACAAAAGAAAUGCAUAUGAAUGUAUCUGUGAUUUUCCCCUGUAGGACUGUCACUGUCUAUAUUUGCUUUUAAAAAUAUGACCAAGGGGCUGCUUAAGUGCGAUAUGAUCUGACCAACAAUAACAGGCUACAUUUAAAAGGGCCAGUCUUCUGAAAAGCGUCAGACAGUGAAUGGCCUAGUUUUCCCCUUAAUACUGGUUCUUCACUACUUCUUUUUUCAAUAUGCUUAUAAUUAUUUUAACUAGUCUUCAAUCUUUCCCUGUGGCACUAUAGUGUUCAUUUUCCUGGGAGCUUUUUUUCUUUUUUUUCUUUCAAACUAAAACCAGAGUUUGAGGAACUCUUUAUCCACAGAGGCUAAUAGAAAUAUAACUCAGAAAUAUCUAUCUGAGACAUUUUUUAGUCUGAAGAAUCUAUAAAAUGGUGGCUUUUGGGUAUCCAGCCCUCAGGAUCUCCAUUUACCUAUUAAAGUGAGGAUUUGGUGCCUUUCUUCUUCAGUUAGGCCACCAAGGAACCUGCAGAAAUCAGGCAUCCUGUCUUCCUAUACAGUAAAUACUUUCAGAUAAUUCCCUCGGCUAUUCAACCCAAUGCAUGGAAAGCCUCAGUUGAAUAAACUUUUCCACCAUCCUGGGUGCCUGAAACUAGUGUCCUUCUUCACUUCUACCUUCAGGACAAAAUGAAGAGAGCUUUUUAAAACCUCAGUAUAAAAGACCUUCUCACACUGGACCAAUAGGAAGGCCUGUCCGUGUGAAUAUUGAGGAAUUCCUUCCUUUCAUGUUUCCUGAUAGAUUUUCGUUCUCUAAUCCCAUCCCAUUUGGCUGUGCCUGUCCAGCAAGUCCCUUUUCACGUUAGCCACGCUCCCUGCAGUGCUCUCCAGCCUGGGAUUCACUAAGGAAUGACCUACUCUUAGUCUACUUUGAAAGGGUGAAUGUCUAGUUUAAUGGCAAAACUACCAAUCUGUUCUCCAAACUGUUCAACCAGAUAUAUUUCUACUAGACAAACAUAAUUGUGAAUUGACUGUUAAGUGAGGCUGCUUCUUCUCUAAGGAUCAAAUAAUAUCCAAAUUAUAUCAACUUUAUUCUUUCCCUCUUUCCUUUUCCUAACCCCUUCCCUUAAUUCUUGUUUCUCUUGAAGACUACUUCAAAAUAUCUGUUCAUCUUCAUCACUGCCCCCAAACCUCUAGUAAUUAUGACCCCUGACUGUUCAUUUCUCUUCCUUUCUCAAGCCUUCUGAACAUCUUUCUUUAAGCUUUAUUUAAUGAAAGAACACUAAAAUGAGUGAGUUCAUAAACUUGAGACUCGUAGGCAGAGUGAAGCAUGUCUUCAUUUUAGCUUCAAAGUUUAAAAGUUAUCAAUAUUCUUUUGAGAGUGGGAGAACCUGAGUCACAGUUUUAAAUGUCAAGUGUACUAGCUGAGGUCAUUAAUUCCUCUUACCUUCACAUUUGGCCAAAGAUGAGAGAAAAAUAUUUUCUGGUUUUUUAAAAUACCCCAGUGUUCAAAAUCUUGAUAUGAGUAAACCACAUCUGCUGGAGAAAAAAAGAAAUCAUUCAUGUUGACUGUUUCCACUAGUCAAAUUACUUGUUUAUCAGACUUUAGAUUACAGGAAUCUACAGAAAAGAGUAACAUUUCAAAAUAAUUUUGAUAACUAUUCAAGCCUUAGUGAGCUCUUCUCAAACAAGAAAAGCCACUUCCACUUGAACACAUUGUAGGAAAAAUUACAAAGAAUUUUUUUAUUUAUUACCCUUUGGAAAAAAUAAGUAAUCAUUGAUUGGCUUAGAACUUUGAGCAGUAAUUUACUAACGUAUGAGAAGAUCCAUAAAGUUUCUAAAGCGUCUGUUUUUGCGACGAGAGGUUGCUUAAACAUAAACUUAAUAUGUGCUUAAAUAAAAUAAUAACAGGGUUAAAUGGAUACUUAAAGAGCCAUGCAGUACACUCCCCAGUACCUAAAUACACACCAUGUAAUUUGGUUUUCAUGCUAGAUCUCACUGCAAUGGAUUACAACUGUCUGAGCAUUGCCCAAAAGACUGACUGAUACCAUUCUGGGUGUAUCUCUUUCAGGAUGCUUAUAAUGUCACCUUCGUAACAACUUUGUAACACAGUCUUUCCUGACUUCUGGUCCAGUGAUCUUGCCACGAUACCACAUCGUCUCUCAGCUUGAAUGAAGACAAGUCCUGUGACAUUUAGAGUACUAUGUGGUUUUGAGUGCAUAGAACUUUCAGUUCUUGCUUUACCCUUUGACAGAAUCGACACUUAAUAUCAGAAAUGUAUUUUUAUUUGACUUGACCCAGCUUUUAUCUUAAUCAAACCACUUUAUAACAUCAACGCACACCAUAGAGAACAAUGAAAUAAAUAGCAGUUUUGAAGGCCUUUAUAAGGCAUACAUCUAGUAGGAAAACAACAUCUCUUAAAAGCAGGAUUUGCAUUGUGUAGAACUGUGAUCUUCACUUGGAAUGUUCUCUCAAUCAGUCCUAUCUUCUCCUUUGUCUAUUUUAACUCCUGGUAUUUUUUUUCGAAAAGUACUCUUUAUCUAAAGUAUUCCUUCUCAUUUCCUUAGGCACUGGCUUUCAAAUGAAGAAAGGCUCUUUUAAACCCUUUUAAAUGCUAUCAUUUAAAGUAUAAUAUGGAGGAGGAGAGGCUCUGGUUCUGACAGAUCUUAUUUGGUCCUCUUAAUCUGAGAUGCCUCUUGACGCUUUUCUUUCUAGUUCCCCAAGAAGCAUUCCAACCCCAAGACCCAGGAUUUCUCACCACAACCUCUGUGUUAGUCUCAGAUUAAUGUCUAAAUCUUGUUUGAUAUUCUAGAGACUCCAGGAUAUGAAUUUAUUGAUGCUUAUGAGUCUCCUAUCUUUCCAAGCUGACACCUGUCAGGAGCACCAAUAGCCCUAACAGUAACUAGUGCAUCAAAAUAAUAGAAUAUUUGUGAGGAUAGGAAGAGAUUUUUUUUCUUCUUUUCUUCAUGAAAAGCUUGCUUUGCUCCCCCCAUCCCCAACAACACACACACCAUGCAUUUCAAAAAGUCUGCAUCACAUUUUACAGAUAUGUAGGUCUAGAAUAUACAAAUAUAGCUUAGGAAAUGUUCUGAGAUUGAGGCUGGUAGCAAACAAGCUUAUUUUCUGCACUGGACUUCAGGACAAGUGUGCAUAGAUACAAUUCCUUCAAAGAAAGUGAAACAUGGUAAAGCAAAGGGAUAAUACUUUCACACAUUCAAACAGUUGUUUGCUAUCUGUAAACCUUGAUUUAAGCAUAAUUAUUAAUUUUUAGAAAUCUGAAACUGGAGGAAUGUGUAUUUUAGUAAAGUUUGUUUGUCGAUUUAUUUGUUUCUCUUUAUCUCUUCUCAAGAUUGUAAAGGGUAUUUAUUUCUUAAUUUGAUACUGUCUAUGGACAGUCAAAUAACUGCUCACCCUUACUAUAUUAUUUUCCCUCUUAGAAAAGCCUUCCAUUCUGCUCUAAAGGAAUUUUUCCUCCACGAAAAUCUUAUCUUCCUUUUCAAAUAGCACUCGUGAGCUUUUAACAGAGAAAUUCUCUCUUUACUUUGAGGAUAGAAUAGUUAAAACAAAAACCUACUCCUUAAGAAAGAAACCCUAUUUACCUAAACCAAUAGGUCUGGGGCCAAAGAAUGGAAAUUGAUUACAGAUGGAGAUCAUGCAUUUUGAACCACAAAUCCUUAUUGCCUCCUCAAAUCCUUUUUGGAAUAAGGCUGGAAAUAAAUUAGUUUAAUUAAAUUCCUCUUUGGAUAUUUCUAAUUAAUAUCUACUGUAAGAUAGCCAGGAAAGAAAAGGAAGGUGCUGCUAACAUGUCAAAAUCAAUCGAUCUGUUGAUUUUUAUCCUUGUAGUUGUUUCUUUUCUAGCCAUUUCAAGACUAUAUGUGUCCAUGAAGUCUUAAAUCGAGAAACAUCUGUUUCCCCAUUGCUUCUCCCUCCUUCCCCACACCCCUGCACCUGCCCCAACCCCAGGCAUUGGAGGCAACAGUAACAGGGAGAUGGGCACUGCAUUGCCAGUACUUCACCCAUCUAUACCCCUACCACAAAGGAGGGAAAAAACAAAUUAGAAACUUAAAAAAAAUAAAUAAAAAGAAAGAAAAUUGUAAUACUUCAUUUGAAAGCAUACUGUUUUCAACUCAACUCAAUUAACAGAUAGCUGGACAACGUUUUUGUAACCCGUCUUUUGUGCUUAAUUGACAUUCUUGGCUCAGUCUUGAAAAUAAUUGCAAUUUCAAUUAAGUGAACAGAGGAAAGGCAAUGAGAGGGAACAGGACAAUGUGAUGGGACCAAAUUUGAUACAGGUCUGGAUUCCUAAAGCCAGUUGUCAAGGUUACCAGAGAACAUUAGCACUACUCACCCCUUGUCCUUCUUACCUGUCUCUGAUUAUUACAGUUCAAAGAAUUAGUGAGAUAACUAUACUUCUUUGUGAUUAAAGAUUUCUCUUAAUGCUGCCAAACCCAUCUAGAGAAACUGUAGAAACUCCUGACUUCUCCUAUACCUAAUGUGCUCUCCAGGCACAAGAGGAGUGUACAGAGAGAUCACUGAAAAUAAAAUGACAGUUCAAAUUUGAGAUAAGAUUUUCCUGCAGUUCAAACUGCUUAUGCAUUGUUCUCAACUAGGGGGAUCUUUGAAAACAAAGGCUAAUUACUCUGCCCUUGCUCUCCUUGAGACCAACUUUAACCUGGAACCAGCUGUAGAUUUGUAAGAGAAAAUUCUCAAAGGUAUUUUCAGCUGCUAAACUUCUUUCUUAGGCCCAUUUAUUUGAACCUUAGUUUUCCUGAGGAGCCUAUUGAGAUAUAAAUUAAGGGUAAUUUGCAUAUAUCUAAUUAAAAUUGUUCCUGCACUAUUAUUGAAAGAAUUACGGUUUUCAGAGGAGAUGAAAGCAGUGUCUUAGUAAUCUUCAUCAUGGCAAACAAAGAUGAGAAGCUGAUAUGAUAGAGAAAAUCUAUGGUAAUGAAAUUUUAAGGUAAUUUGGUUGUGCUGUCCCCACUAUGCUUAAUUCCUUUGUUCCCACAAUUUAUUUUAAACUAUACUUUGGUUCUCUUGAGACUUACUUACAACAUGCAUGUGUGGGCAUGAGCAGACAAGCAGACUUACCUUUGGAGGGUGAAGACCCAGACAAACUGAAGAGACAGAUUCCUGAGGAUGAUCAAAUACAAAUCAUUUUUCCAGAAUCACUCAAUAUUGCCACAUCCCAAACUAAUUCUAGACUAAUCUUAAGAAAGAAGUAAGCUCCUUAAGAGAUCCUACUAUGAAUGUUUUUUCUCCUUCGGAAUAACACAAGAAGAGGUACAAUACAGACUCUUAAUUUUGCUGUAAUAAUUCACUUUUAUAUUUAAUAAUUGUACAUUUUGUGAGUGUGUCACUGAGCUAUUUGUACCAAUUUUCAAUUGAUCAUUCUGAGAGGGGCCUUGAGAAUUUCUGUGUAUGUGUUUGUAUAUCUGUAUCUAUGUGUAGUCAGAAAAAAAAGAGAGAAUAGGAGACUAAUGAUGGGGGAGAAAUGGUCAAUGUAGAAAAAUGAGUGCUCCUAGUGUACCUGUUUAUGUUAUGUAAGGUGGCUGCUGCCUGUAGCCCUUGAGGAAUAGCUGAUUGCACUAUUCAAAAAUAAAAGCCCAGCACUGUUAAAUUUAGGACUGUGUUUUGAGAAACAGGAAAGCUUUAUCUUUUUUUGUACCCAUUCCCCUUAGCAUCAGAGCCAUCUGACAUGAUGAAAACUAUUAAGUAAAAACCACUACUGACCUUUACAUUAAAUAGCUGUUUUCCUCUUCUAAAUAACACCCUUGAUUGUAACUAGACUACUUCCCUUUAUUUCCUGCCUAUUGGCUUAAUGUUUUACAGAAAAAUACAUAGGUGCAUUCUAGUUUCUCUACUUUGUGCUGAAACACACAGGAGCAACAAAAGAGAUGACUCACAGAAGUGUGAGGUAGACUGGAUUUCCCACUUUUGUAGCACUGGUAACCUUUGUAAGAGCUGUUUAGAGUUGAGUUUUGGGUCUAUAAUAGGGCUUUUUUUGCACUAAAUAUGACUGCACUGCAUUGCACUACUGAAAUGUAUUUACUUGUGCUGGGAGAGAGUGGGUUAUGUAUGGGAAAAGAAAAAGGCAAGUUAUGAAAGUAGGAGCAUUACUAAAAUGCAGAGUUAUUUUCAUCAUGCUUGAUCUUAGCAGGGUUAGUGAGACUGUGGAAUCUCUGUCAACUCUUGAUCAGGCCUAGGAACUGCCAUGCUGAUAGGAUCUGUUUUCUUAUUGUAAAGAAACUGAGUUAGUACAGCAAAUUAAGAACAUUUAAGAAAAAGUUUACCCAAUGUUGUUUCCAACUGAGCUCUCAGUAAGAGUUUUAAUAGGGAAGAAGCCGACUAAUAUGAUGUAGAAGCCUUUGCCUUGGCCUACAGCACAAAGCCCCAUGCUGGUGCACAUUUUAGUGUGGCAGAGGGCGGUGGUGUGUGCUCCUUUCAAAAACACACAGCCUUGUCCAUAUUGGAAUUACCCUUUUGGCCUGAGUAUGCUUCUCCAUCCCUGGAUGAAACCUAGAUCAGGCUAACCAAAGAGGAAGGCCAUGCAUGUGGUAAAGUCCUUUAAGAUGACAGAUAGGGAACAGUGCAAUAAACACUGAAAACCAGUGAAGUAAAAGGUUUAUUUUGAAACAAGCUAGGCCAACUUUGACAUUGGAGGAAGGAUUGGAGGAUGGAUUAGAACAUACUAGCUGCUCCAUCAUAGACUAUCCUUACUUAGCAGAAGACCUAAAUAGUGCCUAAAAGUUUAGUUUUGAAAUUGGGUUUUUUUUCCUAACUUUUCUUUGUUAAAUGUAUUUUUAUUGUCUUUUUUAAUCUUAGAAGUAAUCAGAGUUUGACAGCUCUUUGGUAACUGUUAAUAAGAGAAUCUUGCAUCACAGGAUAAGCAAUAGAUUGUAUGGGAAAUAAUAACACAAGAGUAAAGAUGCUGAAGGACACUUCCAGAAUCCAAAGUGACAGUUUUGAAGGUUCUGGCACAGUAGGAAAGGAUCACAGCCCAUAUCAAUAGCUAAUGUUAAAUUUCUCUGAACACUAUUACAUGUGGGGGCAUCAAUUUGGAAAAUUCUCAAUUGAGGCCUCUUUCCUAAGAUUACAACAACAUUGAUAACCUGUCUCUUUCUCUCUCUUCUUUACUAUCUGUCCAAGUCAACUGUUCCAAGUUUAAACAUUGUUCAGAAAAUUGUCAACCUUGUUAGGUAGAAAAACUUCAUUUAGAGCCAUCAAAACUAGCAUUCGAAAUUUCUUAAGCCCUCAAAGCAUUAUCUCUGUUUUAAAUAAGAAACUAAAUUCAGAACUCUUAACAGGUAUUUACUAAUACAUUAUUGGAUAAUCACUAAGAGGACAUUGACUGCACCAAACCAAAGUUCCAGGAAGAAAUUAUUGACUUUUUUUUUUCCUGAAACGGAGUCUCACUCUGUAGCCCAGGCUGGGGUGCAGUGGCGCGAUCUCAGUUCACUGCAACCUCCGCCUCCCGGGUCCUGGUUCAAGCAGUUCUCCUGCCUCAGCCUCCAGAGUAACUGGGAUUAGAGGUGCCUGCCAACAUGCCCAGCUAAUUUUUGUAUUUUUAGUAGAGACGGGGUUUACCAUGUUGGCCAGGCUGCUCUUGAACUCCUGACCUUGUAAUCUGCCCACCUCGGCCUCCCAAAGUGCUAGGAUUACAGGCAUGAGCCACCACACCCAGCCAACUUUUUAAAAUAUAUUCACAUUAACUGUCCUAGGAUACUUCUCUUGAGGCUUUGGGACACUUCUUCCUUGAAACUUGCAUAUCCAUUCCAGUUCUGUCACCAAAGAUUUUAAUCUUCAGAGCCCAACCUCCUCUCUCCCAGACAAAAAUUCUACAACAGGCUCAAGGGAUAUGCUUCGGUGGUCAAGGGAUUACACUUUGGUUUUCCUUCUGUUCACAGUGGUAUUUACAGGAGACCUUGUCAUUAGAGGAGGUACUGAACUAUCUUUAUGACUUUGGAUUUGAUCAUAGGUUUACAAAAUAGACAAAAUAAAAUAAUAGUACUAGACACUGUAAAUUAUCUUUAAUAGAGUCAUGACCUGGAGACUGAUGGAGAGAAAGAAACUUCCAUGGAAGAGAGUGAGCUAAAUCAUUUAGAACCAAACAAGGGUCACUGGUAAAACAUAGGGCAGCAUGUACACAGUGCAGAUCAGGUUUCUGUAUGGCCAGAGCCAACAGCAGUGGCUGGUGGGAGAGUCAGACAACUGGCCAAUGAAUUCAAGAUUAAAAAGCCACAGUCUGGAUUUUGUUGUGAUUGCCGGAGUGAUUGAAAUGCCCAUGUCCAUGGCAAGGAAAAUGCUUGGAGGCUGAUCUGUUGUGAUAGUGCCUUUCUUGUAGUGAGGACUAGAUUAAUAAUUUAUUCAGUUACACUUUUCUGGACCAUUGCCCCAGUCUUCUGAGGAGGUCUGAAGGGAUAGUAUCCACUUAGGAUGAAGGGACAGGAUAUUGCUCCUGGAAUGCUGUGAUUUGAUGAUAUUUGCACUAGAUUCUAAACUCUCCUUUAAACUGGAGCAACUGACUGAGAGAAAAACCAAGGACAACUCAAAGUUAAAAGAAACCAAAAGUAAUAUUUUCUGACGGAUACCAUUUCUUUUUUUCCUGGAAGAAAACUUCACACUGUUGGCUACUAAGCUCAACUCUUACCAGUUCUGUUGGUUUAUUUUUUGUUUCCAUAUGGAACCAUCUGUGUGAAUUAGUCGUCAGUUAGGGAUAGUUAAUGUAAAGACCCCUGCCACUGAAACUUUGCACACCUUCUCUGCUUUAUUGAAGGCAAGGGCCACUGGGCAGUGGUAGCGGGGGAGGGACCCUCCAGAGCCACCCAGCCCUCCAGGAGGCCAGUAAGCGUGGAUGUCAUGUCAGGAGCUGAGCUGACAUAUAUUUACUCGGAGGACAUUGGGGUCUAUAGCUAAUCCUAAAGAAUGCUCCACAAGAGAAGAAAACCAAUGUAUUGUAGAAAACAAAGGGAGAUGGUGCCCAAAGUCUGCCUGUUUCUCUUCUCUUUUCUUUCCAGACUCACCACCAUGUCCUCUCUUAGAGAAUUAUAUUUCAUCUCAUGUAUUAUAUGUUACCAGAAAAGUUAUUUGGUUCCUUGGUUUCUCUCUUUAUCAGUGGACUGGGAAUUCCUCCAAAUUAAAAAUGAAUACCAUUAGCAGCUCCCCUGUGUCCAGCCAAUUUCUCAAAUGCUAUCCACCUGGUCUUGCUGUCCACCUAACAUGACUUGGAAGCUUUGGCUGGCUCAACCACCUGUCCACUUUAUUUUGUUUCCAUUUCCAUUUGAACUUGAAGUGAGGCUAUGGAAAGGUGGAAAUCAUGGGAAAGGUUUGGAGGCUGCAAUUCUAGGGCAUAGCUUGUCACAGGAGUUUAUGUUAUCUAAAAUAUAUCUUUCUACACCCCUUGUCAUUUUAAUCUGUUGCUCUGAUUAUAAUUUCUUUAUAUUUGUGGUUAUUUUUAUAAGAAUAGAGUCCAUUUGCUAUGUCUAUUUGAGUACUUUUUUCUAUUGUCCCCACAUGGAUGCAGUACCAACCUGUUAAUGAAAUAUCUUUUUAUUAUAUUAUUAAUAUGUAAUUCUACUGUAGACCAAAAAAUAUAAAAACAAAUUUGUUCAUUUCAAAGAUAUAAAGAACUAGGGAGUAAAAGAUUAAAAGUUGAAGGAAAAGACAGAAGGCAGUGGUUAACUAUGUUGAGUUAGAAAUCUGAGAGUAGCCUUACCUGUUUUUUAACCAGUGCUUGCCAAUCAUACCAUCGUUGGGAUUAUGUAAUCUUGGCUCCUUCAUGCUUAUGUUCUCUAAUUCUUGUUUGUCUGUUUGUUUUCUUUGAUGUAAUUGAGGUUGCACAUCAUGCUAUUUUUGGCAAUGCCUGAUUCUAUUAUAUUGUACUUUUGUCAGUCAUUUCCAUUAGAAAGAUGGGGGAAACGUUUAUUUCUUCUUUUAAUUUAAAAUUUGUUUGAUGCACUGGAAAUAAAAUUGGACACAUUUCACUGUUUAAAAAAAUCAGAAACAAAACAAAGCAAAAACCACAAGGAAAAAAAACUCAGCAAAUAAACAACAGGAAAAAAAGCUAUGAAAAAAAUUUAUUUGUACUGAAUACACAUACAAACUACAUCCCACAUGAAAGAUUAAUAUCAUCAAAUAAGAAAAAGACAUAGUUUAAACUACAAUGCUGAAAAUAUACAAGGAACCUGGUAGUUCAAUGGGGAUAGAGAAAACAGAACAUUCUUCUGACAUCAGAGAUCUUGUUAUUACUGCAGUUAUUGUCCAGAUCAGUUAAAUGUGGAAGAAAGUAUGGAGGAAGUAACCCCAGCCUUCCUCAUACCACUGGAUUUCCACAUUACCUUUUAACCUAUGCUUGAGCUCCGUUUUGAGAAAAAAUAUUUAAAAACAAAUUUGCUAUGUAACAAAUUUGUGUGUGUACAUAUAUAUCCACAUAUGUGUAUAUAUAUGUAUAUAUAUAUGGUUGAGAAAGUGGUUUGUCAAGAUGUAUGUGCACAGUACACACAUAGACACACUUCAGUCCUCUGACUUCCCAUGUGCUACCUCAUGUGUUUCUCUUCUCUUGAGGAUUUACAAUGGAUAGUCGUACAACCUGGGGACUGUCAGUGACUCAUUGGUAUCAGCAUAUGCUAAAAGCUCUUGAAUCCAAUCUUAAAACCUGAUCUCUUUUCUUCAGCAUCCCCCAAUACCAGACAGGCCCAUUAACCCAUACAAAUGGACAGUAAAGGAAGGACAAAGAUAUUUUUCUUAGCCAACUGGCUCUAUCAUUGUUUAACGUUUGCUGGGUUUUUUUCUGGUUUUGUUUUGUUUUAGAGCAGGGGUGGGAGUGGAUGUAACUUCACAAUCCUAAUACAGUAAAUGUUUUGCAUCUUCCAUGUUUUAUGCAAAAACAAACAUUUAAAUCAAUAAAUAAUUGUGCCCUAGACUGAAAGUUAAUGUUUAGGAGAGGAAAAAAAUUGUUGGAAUUUUUUCUACAUUUUUUUGUGAAGAAUCUUUUUUGGAAAGGAAGGAUACAUAUUUUUGUUGUGUAAUAUUUUCUAUUUUUGAAUGCAUUUUAUUGGUACAAGACUGUUUUUUUGGUGAAGACAUUAUUUAAAAAAAAAAGAAAAAAACUAAUCGAAAAGUUUGCCCUUAAGGAUAUGCUGCAGUUUUGAGGUUUAAAACAAAAUAACUGAUUCAAGAUGCGUGUUAAAAGUUGGGAUUAUAUUGUUGUUUUUUGUCAUUGUUACAAGAAGAAGUUUGUACCCACUGCUGUUUAUUUUGUUUCAGAUGAGUAAGUAAAGGGAUUGUUCUUGUUUUAUUCUUUUUUUAGAGAAAAAAGCUAUUUAUGAAAUGUCAAAAACACUGGACUGUGAGUUUAAGUGUGGAAGCAUUUUACCACCCUGUGUCUUCAACCAAUUAUGGGAAAACCCUUUUCUCUUCCCCCCACUCCCCGCCUUAGCCUUGCCAAAUGAGAAAAAUAUAACAGCUGUCAGAUGAUCGAAGCCACCGAAGCCCUGCUUUAAUUUUAUGGUUUGAAAAAGUUGGAAAACCAAAGUUAAAUUUAUUUCUGAAAUCCUGCUGUGCGUAGCCCUUUUUUGUAUGACACAGCCGGGCUCUGCCUCUCUAUCUCAGAUCAUUGCCUUCUUAGGGGCUGGGGGCCAACCUGAUGCAAAGAGACGUAUAAAGGUGGUGAGCCUGAGAGUUGAGGUCUCAUGAAGUAAAAUGUGAGUGGGACUUCACCCUCUCAGAGGGCAACCACGCUUUCCCAUUCUGAAAUGAGGCUGCCAAGAGAGCACACUGCUAACACUGCCUGAGGAGAGCGCCUCCCGUCUCCUUCACCCUCUGCUUCUGAGACCCUCCUGUUACUGUUAUCAUCAUUCUUUAGCAUGGCUCUGCCUUUCUCAGCAGCCCACAUUCCAUGGAUGGGAGCGGGAGGCAGGGGCCCAAAGGAGGCAAAUGGCUGUGGGUGGUGUGAAGACCCCCCCAGCCCUCAGGAAGGUGGGGCAAGGGACCACUGAGCACAAGGGAUCUUGCCCGCCUCCUCUUUGACUCUGUGGAUUAUCCAUCCGUCUGCUCACUGUGAAGAUGGAGAGGCAGUGCCCUAAGGCUGUUCAAUAGCUUUUCCAUAUUUUUUCAACAUUGAAAAAAUAAUUUUUAAAAACUGUGAUAUUUUUUUAAAAAUCAUUUGGCUGGAGGGAAGGGAAAAGGGAAACACCAAAAGCUGUAACAUGAUUAACUGGAGAUAUUUAACUGGGGCACUUUCUAGACCAAGACAAACAAAUUCCUUUCUGGACUCUAAAGCAGCUGAAUCUUGAGACUGUCAAUGACAGAAAGCUGAAGAGAGGCCUCUAUUUCUUCCUUUCUCCUUUCUUCUAUCUAAAAACUUUCUCUCUUUCCCCUUUUCCAACUUCCCUUGGACUACUGCCCCAAUGGCCCCUUGAACUCCCAUUUCAUGUAUGCAAGCACACAGACACACAGACACACACACACACACACACACACACACACACACACAAACUAACUUGCAAAAUACCAUUUUUCUUAAGGAUUGUGGGACCGAAUAAUAUCACGUGCCUUCAUCUUUUCCUUUUAUAGUUAGAUUAACCUCUUCCUUUUUACAUUUUUUUUUAAAAGAAAGGGGAGGUGGAUGUGUUAAUGGAAGAUUUGGGCAUCGUUUGAGAAGUAACUUUUGUUUAGCACAUUCCCCCUAAACAUUAAACACAAACAUUUCAACCCCUGCAUGGCACUCUUUGGACAUUUAAAGCAUUGAGUAACCAGGAUACAUGACAGCCUAAAUCCAUUUGAUUUCAGAGCAUUUCCUGAACAUUCUAUUUCAUAGACUUCUUUGAUUUUUAUCAAAAAUGAGGUGAGCAACGGCAAGCAGCCUUGUUCUCCCGAUUUGGUGCUUUUGUUUGUGGUGUGGGGUGGGCAUGGGGGGUUGGGGGGGUGUGGGUGUGUUUAGAAAAAAGAUGCAUUCCUAAAGAGCUCUGGUGCUGAAGGGCCUCGAGUUCCUUUCAGAGACUGUAUUUGACACACUUUAGGUACACACAAACGAAUGGAUCACAUGCAAUAUUUUAAUGGAGCAAUGGGAGAGGCUCUUUGAAAUGGGGUUUGCAUCUUUUUGUAACAUUUUGAUUUCUCUGGUGCCUUAUUCCUACUUGAUGCUGGCACUCACAUACCCACAGGAAGCUGACACAGAAGUCAGCCUUAGGUGUGGGGACAUAUGGGUGAUGUCUGAGCAUGCAGGGGCCAUGGAGAGGUUGGUGUCACUUGCUGGAGAAGGGACUAGAUGGCAUCUCUUAGCCAAGGCCAAGCAGGGACUGCACAAAUCCAUUAUAGUCAAAGUUAGCAAUUUUGAUACGUAAACACAAUACUUCAUUCUUCCUCGUCUGUGCUUUCCUUCCUUCCUUCUUCCUUUUCUAUCUCCACCUUCUCAUAAAGGUGCUGCUGCUGCUGCUGCUAAGGUGCCCAGAGUCCAGAAUGCCCAUAAAUCACUCAGGCACAAGCCUGGCACUGCCACAUCAGCCUCUGGCUUGACCAAACCCAGGUUUCUCUUUAUUGGGGCUGAGAACUGUCAGAUUUUUCUCAUCAAAAAUGUUUUCCAAGGAAUCAGUGGAUUACAGUUUUUCUGCAUUGAAAAUGCACUUUAAAAAAUAAAUUCAAGCUCCAGACUGUUUAAAAUAUACAGAGGGAGCAGGGGAAAGAUAAGCACGUGCUAGUGUCUGAACCCAGUUCAGUUUAUCUCCAGUUGAAACAAUAUACACUAUAUGAUGUAUAAAUGUAUACACGCUUCCUAUAUGUAUCCACAUAUAUAUAGUGUAUAUAUUAUACAUGUAUCGGUGUGUAUAUGUGCAUGUAUAUCCACAUGCACAUAACAAAAUCAGAUGCUCAUUACAAAUCCAGAUGCUCAUUACAAAACCAGAUGCUACACAAACAGCAGCAGAGGAAACAAGGUUGGACUCUUGCAACAGAUCACAAAAAAUAAAAACAGCAACUUGCAGUGACUUAGGUCAUUUCUGUAUGUUCACAAGAAAUGGACUGUAACAAGGAAAAAAAGGAACGGAGUUAGUGAAGGAGGAAAAAUGGGCAAAACCAUCUUGAUCCGAUGCGAACGCAGUAAUGUUCUAUACCAUUUCAUCAGUUAUUUCUUUUAGUCAUGUUGAUUUGAUUUAUUUUUGACUAUUAAAAACAUUUUUAAACUCAAAUGACCCACAACAAACUGAACAAAACUACUACAGUGAAAGCCCUUUUCAGUGAAAGAUGUUAGAAACCUCAAAACCCUUGGCCUGACUCAGAACUACCAUGUGAAAAUCAGUACUCUCUUAAUGUUUCAAAUGAAAACUGAAAAAAAAAAAAAACUUUUUUGAAGCACCUUAACGUGGCCAUCCAUUUGAGAAGUGGAUGCCACUUUUUUCUUUGAGCACCUUAUUGAUGUGUUUUGCUAUCUGCUGUCUUUCUGUUACCUGUUGGCUGAAUGGCUAGCUGUUAACAUACACAUGUGCACAGAACAGAUAUCUGGGCAUGUAUGUUCUCAAUGAAGUUUACUGUGGUGACUGCUGAAAGGUGAAUCCAUUUCCUGAUUUUCCCACCGCAGUGUUGUGAUAAGAUUCGAAGAAACUCUUUUCCCUGCACACAUAUGUUUCUUAUCACAUUUUAUCUUAGUCUGGAAAGGAAUAUGGUCCCUUUUUUGCAAUUGCUAAUUUGUAUACACACACACACACACACACACACACACACACAUUAUAUCUAGACCUAAAAUACACACACACACGCACCUGCGCACACACACACAAUUAUAUCCAUUCAUUCGUUCAAAUGGUAUUUCCAGUGUCUGUGUAUCACUGUUUAUGCAGUUUCCAUUUCCCAGUGAAUUUUGAACGGAGGGCAACUUUUCUAACCAGAUUGUCUUUUCAGACCAAAGACCUGGGAAUUGAGGAAGAGUUUGGAAAGAAGGAGAGGCAAGGAAAGAGAGCUUUACAUUGAAAGAUUAAUUUCCCAAGAGGAAUCUGGGCUGAAUGACUACAGUGCUAUACCCUCCAAUCUUUGCAGGUGGGCGUGGAACACUGCUUAUACCACUCUGUGCAUGGUAAAAAUUUGUAUAUCCACAAAUACACACAUCCAUCCAUCAAUAUAUACAUGGUUUGGGAUGAGCAGGUCAAUCGUUUUGAGAGGAAGUUUGUUCCUUUUUUUUUCUCAUUAUACUCUUAAAUUGUCAGUUAUCAAACAAACAAACAGAAAAAAUGUUUGGAAAAACCUUGCAUACGCCUUUUCUAUCAAGUGCUUUAAAAUAUAGACUAAAUACACACAUCCUGCCAGUUUUUUCUUACAGUGACAGUAUCCUUACCUGCCAUUUAAUAUUAGCCUCGUAUUUUUCUCACGUAUAUUUACCUGUGACUUGUAUUUGUUAUUUAAACAGGAAAAAAACAUUCAAAAAAAGAAAAAUUAACUGUAGCGCUUCAUUAUACUAUUAUAUUAUUAUUAUUGUGACAUUUUGGAAUACUGUGAAGUUUUAUCUCUUGCAUAUACUUUAUACGGAAGUAUUACGCCUUAAAAAUACGAAAAUAAAUUUUACAAGGUUUCUGUUUUGUGUGGAAGAGUAAUUGAUGUUGCUAAGAAUGAUGUUUGUUUUUUGGGGUUUUUGUUGUUUUUUUUUAAAUGUUACCAGCACUUUUUUUGUAAGUUUCACUUUCUGAGGUAUUGUACAAGUUCACACUGUUUGUGAAGUUUGAAUAUGAAGGAAUAAUUAAAAAAAAAAAACUCUUCCCUUGGUUUCCUAUUGUGUCUUCUUUAUACUGUAGUUUCUGUUUCAGGCAGUUCUCCACAUUAUUUUGCACAUUGUAUUCUAGGUCUAAUCUGAGAUUAUUUAUCCAAACUGAGGACUCUACUUGGAAGGCCACAAAAGUUCUGAUUAUAUUAGUCCCCUCAAUACAAGAAGUAGAAACUACAGAUAGGAUUGGUGAUGUCGAAGUCACUUUGAGGAAAUAUAAAACAAAUUGGUGUAUUAUCCUAUGCAUGUUCAAACUUCAAAAAAUGACAAGGCUCACUUACUGCUCUACAGAUUGAUUCACAUGUUUUUCUUUUCCACAUGCUAAUCACUGUCUGCCUAUUGUGGAAAUAAUCAAUUCCAUAUGAUGACACUAUGCCCACCUAUUAUUGUGUCAGUCCAUCUCCGUUAUCCGUGAAUCUAUCACUGAGCCUCCUUUUUAACUCUAGGGUUUCUCAGCUCUAUAUGCAAAAAAAAGGAAAGUUCAUGGCACAAAACCUGCCCCUAUUUGAUGACUUUGGAGACUCAUACAGGACUCAUGUUGAGUCCAAAGAUCUUUUCUUGCAUGUGACCCUGCCCAUAAGAGCUCUCUGAUCUGAUCAUUCUUACAGAAAUUGCUAAUAUGGUGAAGAAAACAUAUCUUGUUUGUCUUUGGAAAAGUCAACACAAAUUAAAUUCACAAUGUCUUCUGUAGUUCAGUCAAUACUGUGCAAUGUAUGAAUAAAAGAAAGGAAAUUAUUUCAGCCAUGAGAAGGCUUAAAAUCUAACAACUGGACAUAAAAAGGGGUUUGUAUAAAAAAUCAAGAGCUAGAUUGUACCAUUCAGACUCCUAAUGCCAAGGGACUUUCUAAACUAACGACGUUAAUAAUGGCUAGAGUGAGUCAAGAAAGGGUCCAAAGAAUAAGCAGUCUAGUUCGGGGAUUCCUAAGAGCUUUGAGUUGGAGAAGCUGAGUGUGGACAGACAUUUCCACCAGUGUGAGGAACACAAAAAUAUCCAGGCCUGAGCUCAGAAUGGGAAAAGUCAUCAAGAGACCUCUAGACUGAGGUGAUGUCAAUAAAUUGCUGAGAUUUCAUGAUUAUCUCUAUGAAUUUAAAUAUUCACUUCUUGCAACUCAAUCACUGAACUUCUAAGUCAACCUUAUUGAUACUCUAGAAGUAUAAAGAGAAAGAAAAUAUUUUCAUGAUGCAUAAUUUGUCCCUAUAUGAUUUCUGUGAACCAACAUCUUAACGAUGACAGCCAGCUUCACCCAGAGUCUUGGAUCUCUCUUUGCACCAUCUACACACUUUUGAGUUUUCUUCUGUAGCUGUUAAAAACAUUGUGGUGUAUUUUACAUACAGGCUGUAAUAAUUAUAAAUGACACAUACACUGCUCAUGUGGCACUUCACAGUUUACAAAGUUUCUCCUUAAUAUCCUUCAUCCAUCUUCACAGUCACACUGUGAACAUUGUAAUGUAGCUGUGAGUGCACUAAUUUAUAAAAACAGACGUUCAGAAAUACGUGUUCUUCCAAUACAAAACAACUUAAAGUAGUGGCUGAGGUCAAGUUUUCUGAAAUUCAAUAAUAUUUAUACCAUACCAGUAUUCUCAAACUUGAGUAAUGUGUGCACCCAUAUGAAGGGGAAAAAAAAAUACUUCCACAGACCACACCAAUGGAAGAGAGUCUGUGAUUAUUCUUAUUGUAAUACCUAGUAAUAAAUAAUAUGCAUAAUUAUUUAAAUAUUCUUAAACAUAACAAGUGGACUGAAUAUGCUUAUACCUCUUGUAGAAUUAUAAAACGAAAAGUUACAAAUUGAAUACAAGUAAAACUAUAAAAUUAAUAAUGUCUACAUUAACAAUGAAUGCAUAGAAUGAUGCUUUGCUGAAUUAAGUCGUGGCUUACAAAGUUAAGUAUACUGCACACAUCCUUCUAAAUACAGCAUCCUACACUACCGUGUGCAAAAUAAAGACGAUUCUCACUUCACUUUCCUAUUAUUUCAACUACUGCAAAGUUUUCCACUGCUCUCCACCCAUCUGGGAGUAAAUGAAUCAUUUAUAAAUUAAGCUUCCGUGCCUUUAAAUCAACUUGAUUAUAAACACAAACACAGAGGCUAAAACCAAUGACAAUACUCUGUUAUAAGAAGGUUACCGAUAUCCAGGUAUCUCUGACUUCUUUAAAGAUUAUCAUUUCAUUUAAAACGCACAAUGUUUAAAUGCUUACAGAAAAGUUGUGGACCCCAAAGGUAUAUCUACAACUCUUAGCUUUCCUUAAAUCCCAUUUUUUAAGAACAUUGGUAGAUAACCUCAGUUGUUCCCAACCAGUUUUGUUGCCUCCAUGAAAACUUCUGUGGCAUUGUAAGCAUUACCUGGUGCACAUGCUCAUGGGGCAGAACCCAAUAAUAAUAUUAACCCAGCAUCUUGCAGCUGACAAAGCAGUCAGCCACAUUCCUACCUCAUCUUAAGAACCUUAGAAAGAGUAAUAUUGCCAUUUUACAAAUGCAGAACUAUUUAUGAGUCUCUGAUAGGUUAAGUGGCUUAUCCAAAGUCAUGAAACUAAUUGCAGAGCUCAGCAUUUGGAGCAACUUCCUCAGUUCCCAGUCCCCACACUGCAAAAUUAUUUCUUUUUGAUCUCUGUGAAGUCCAUCAGCGUUUUAGUCCCAGAGAAGGUGCUCUUCACAGCCUACAUGAAGUCAGAAUGAAUAUAGUCCAAGGUAAGUCCUGUGAUAAACAUCUAUUCCUGCCUAACCCUGAUGAGUUGCAAACUUCUUGACAGUUUUGGCCCUAUUUAUGUGAACUGGACCACUUAGCUACCUCAGAUACUUUUUGGAAAAAAAAAAACUAAAAUAAAUAAAUGUACAGUCUGCUUUGACCUCGUGGUUUGUCUUGAUCAAAGGAUGGAUACAGAAGAAUAGAGGAGAACCUGCCAGUUCCUUCCUGGUGGUAACCAUUUCAAACCUGUAACAACUGGAGAGCCAUCCAGUGUCCUAUAAGCACAGCUCUCUGUGUUUAUAUGCAGGCAGUUACUAGAAUUGUGAUGUCUAAUAUACUAGCCACCAGUCACAUUCUGCUAUUUACAUUUAAAUGUCCUAAUUAAAAUAAAAUUUAAAAUCUAGUUUCUUUGUCAUAUUAGCCAAAUUUCAAGUGCUCAGCAGCCACAUGCAGCCAGCAGCUACCGUACUGGAUGGGACAGGCAGAGCAUUUCCAUAAUGGCAGAAAGUUCUAUUGGAUAGCAUUGUCCUACACUAUCUUAUGCAAAUAAAUUCCCUCAAGCCUUGAGUAUAUCAUUCUGACUUCCAGAAAGCUCAGGUUCUUGCCACACAAAAAGCUCCCCUGGACCUCUUGACAGGUAUGACUUGACGUGGGUUUGGGAAACUACCAGUUACAGCCAAGAAGCAGCACCUGAAAGAAUCAGAAGGCUAAACAAAACUCAUGCUUCACAGCUGACAGCCAGGCUACCCAUUGCCCCCCUCUCUGUGGGGUGGGGUGCGCCUGCCAGAAUGCUGUCAUUGGUGGACAGCACACCCAGCCUCUGACUGUCUGGCUCAGCACUGAUGGCAUCCGAAUGAACCUGAGUGUACAAUGAGUUACACUGAGUGUACAGCUGAGCCCACUUCAUUUCUGGGGCUCACAGGGCAAGAAGGGAAAGGGCAUGAAAUAAAAUUGCCUAGUGAGGUCCUGUUCAGUCAUGAAGAACAUCUGUCUCAAAGCUCCAUGCCUCAAAGUUUCUCACAUUUGUUUAGUAUAAUUAUUGGGAUUAUACAUCAGACUUGUAUGCCCAGGCUCAGAAUGUAGGCAGGGAAUCAGUAAUGUAUUCUUCCUUGAAUGCUCAUUCAUAGAUUUUUCUAUUGCUCCUCCUGUUAAGGAAUCCACAAGGGGACCCAGAAAAGCCUGGCAUUGCUUCCUGUCAGCACUGCGUGUUACCCCACCUCAAUUUUUCUGUGCUUCCCUACAUAUAUCCAAAAAGACACCAUUUGUGCUAAUUUUGCAAGAAAGACGCUGUAAACUGUCACCGCAAACAACAACAUUUUUAUAUGCAUCUAUCUUUCUUCCAAAGGACUUGGAGCUCCAGACAGAUUUCAGUUCAUUCUUCCUAACUAUGUAACCCAUUUGGUAGAAAGGUGAGAAAAAUAAAAAUAAAAAUCCAAGGCGGAAUAGGAGUUGAAUUGUCUUGUUACUAAGACGAUUGUCAACCCCAGUCUAUGUCUUAGGAAUCAGGGCCUUUAUUCUUAGGAAGCAAUGCUUUAUUUUAACCACGGGCAAAAUCCAGCCCUGCUUCACAUUCUGUCAUGGUUCCUGGGCCCAUGAAAGAAAAUCAGUCACCAGUAAAUCUAGCCUCCCUGUUGAUUCCUCUGAGAGAGACGGUGGAAGGAUAAAAAAGUCUAAGAUGGGGCCGGGAGCAGUGGCUCACGCCUGUAAUCCCAGCACUUUGGGAGGCCGAGGCAGGUGGAUCACUAGGUCAAGAGAUCAAGACCAUCCUGGUCAACAUGGUGAAACCUCGUCUCUACUAAAAAUACAAAAAAUUAGCUGGGCACGGUGGCGCAUGCCUGUAAUCCCAGCUACUCAGGAGGCUGAGGCAGGAGAAUUGCCUGAACCCAGGAGGCGGAGGUUGUGGUGAGCCGAGAUCGCGCCAUUGCACUCCAGCCUGGGUAACAAGAGCGAAACUCCGUCUCAAAAAAAAAAAGCAGUCAGUUACCCCAACCCCAGCACAAAGAGGUCAGGGAGUAAAUAAAAGGGUUCAAAGAAGUUAGUUGAAGGGUGUUUAUUUUUUAAACCCUCUAUCACCUCCAGGCCCCCCUUUUCCCUUAGGAAGAGCCCCUAUUUUAAAAAUCCGCAUUUUCCUUUUAGUGGGAAACGUUCUUUUUUCAAAGGCUCAACAGUGUAUUGAUGCAGAAAAGGUAGAUCAAGGCCCAAAUGCUAAGACUUGGCUCCCUCCGUGGGCACAUGCGUUUCCUGGGGCUUCCCCAGCGCACAUGGGCGGAAGAGCCUACAGAGCACUGUGUCAGGCCGGCUAAGGGAGCCCAACAGGUGCAGCUUCUGCCUGGACACAGCUUCCUGGGGAUGAGGGAGCACUGAGACUUCGUUCCUCCUGUCCAGCUGAUAACCUCUGGAGGCCGCUUUCCACAGAAUGGGUUCUGAGAGAUUUCUUCUAAAAACAAACAAACUACAAAGUGAGUAUGUGGGGAUGUUAUUCAAAUGUUACUCCCCAGUAUGACACAUAUUGAGAGUUAUCAUGAUCUCUCUCUUCCUUUUUACCCACAUACAUACGGACAAACUUGUUCUUACCAACACCAAUUCCUUAGCCCUUAAUUUCUCAACCGUAAUACAGCUAGAUUUCAAUUCUAACUGCUCCAUGGAAACUACACUUGCUACAUACACCACAUGCCACACACCUCGUUACUUCCUGUUCACCAAGCUUAGUGGGGCAGCUUUCCAUUUUCUAUUUUCUUUUACUCUUUACUGUACUUGACUCUGUUGACCUCUUCCUUUCUGAAAUGCUCUCUUUCCCUGGUUCCUGUGGCAUCACUCUCUCCUGAUUCUCUUCUCCUUUGAACACCACUAUCAUCUUCAGCCAAGCCUGCCCCUUCUCUCUUUGCACAAAAGCUCCCUAAACCAUGGGGUUCCCCACGGUUCUGCCCUCUGCUUUCUCUCACAGUAAACAUGCUCUCUGGUUUCUUCAUGAGCAUCUACCUUCUUAUAUCUACAACCACCGUCUGUCCUCUGAAGAUGCCCAAAUCUCUAUCCAAACUAGCCCAGUCUUCUGCCCUGAGCUGCAGACCCAGGUAUCCCCCUGUUCACUGGACAUCAUCACCUGACAACCCACAGCAAGCUCAGACUCAAAUUAUCUCAAAAGAAACCAUCACAUUCCCUCCCCAACAAACCACACCUGCCCUUAUAUUCACUGCCCUGUUUUAUGGCACCAGCUGAUCAGAAAUCUAGAGGCUGAUGUUCAACUCAAAUUAUCUGUAAAACCUCAUCCAAUUUUAAUCCUAGGCGGUUCUGAAAUCUAAUCCCUCUUUUCCAUCUCUAUAUCCUUGUCUUGUCUCUCAGCUGGGCUUCAUCCUCACUGUCUCUGGACCCCUCUUACUUCUAGCCCAACUCCACAUGGUCACCAGCAGAGUGAUUUUCAAAAGUGAAAGUUGGGUCAGUCCAUACUUCUGCCUAAAACUCUUUAAUGGCUCCCACUGUGUAUAGGAGGGUGCUUAACCUGAGAUGCACAGGUGGAUUUCAGGGGAUUUGUAAAUUGCAUAGAAAAUGUUGCCUAGAGGGACAUUCUUCUAGGAAGAAAAUCCGUAAUUUCACUACAUUUCCCACAAGAAACUGUGAUGAUCCCCAAAACAUCCCUUGUGAUGGUCCCACUCACCUUUCCAGUUUACAUGCCGGGAAAAUGACUUAUUAUUUCACUGAAGUUUUCUCAUGACCUUAUGAAGGUAAUGCCAUCAUAAUCAGCAUUUUACAGAAAAGGAAACUAAGGGUUAGCAAAGUUAGGUGGUGUAGCUACUCAAGUGGUGGGGCUGGGACCCAAACCUACCACUGUCUAAUUCCAAAGACCAUGCUCUUAAAUAAUGCAAUCUCUGCAUUAUUUCUUCCAUUUCUAUGCUCUCAAGGUCUGUAGUGAAUGCUGUUGGUACCUGUCAUAGCUAAUUUUAGGUAUCAGCUUAACUGGAUUGAGGGACCUGAGAGAGCUGGUAAAGCCAUUUCUUGUGUGUCUGGGAGGGUGUUUCCAAAGGAGAUUGGCGUCUCAGUCUGAGUGAAGUGAGUUGGACAACUCCACCCUAAAUGUAGCCAGGCACCAUCCAGUCACCUGGGAGCUUGCCUUUCCCAAAACAAAACAGGUGUAAAAUUGGCCUUUCACUCUUUGGAAUUGGGAUGCAUUCUUCUCCUCCUGUCCUUGGACGUCAGGACCCCAGGCUCCAUGACUUUGGGACUCCCGGAUUUACAACAGUGCCCCCCACCCUGAGUUUUCAGGCCUUUAGCUUUGGACUGAGGAUUGUACCAACAGCCUCGCUGGUUCUGAGGCUGUUGGACUUGAACGUAGACAUGUUACCAGCAUUCCAAGGUCUCCAGCUUGCUAACAGCCUGGGGUGAGACUCCUCAGCCUUUACAGUCACAUGAACCAAUUCCCCUAAUAAAUUCCCGCAUAGCUAUCUAUCCAUCCAGCCAUCUAUCUCUCCUAUGGCUUCUAUCUCUCUGGAGACCCCUAACUAAUAUAGUUUCUUCUCAGAUCCCUCUACCUGACCAGCACUCCCAUUUUCCAGAAGCUGGUAGUAUAGGCUGUGAGCUCAUACCAGCCCCUUCUCUGGAGAAUUGCUCUUGGGCCUUCCCUGGUGAGUAGCCAGAAAUAAUACUGACAUAGGUGGAUUUCCAAAAGGCCAUUUCCCUGCCUGAAGGUUCAACCAACACUUUGUACAAUUCUUGCUUCAGCCAAGUCUCCAGCUGAGACCACAUCCUUGCUGAGCUUUCUUCCAUUGGUCCUCCCAAUACUGCUUCUUUCACUACCUUUCAUCUGAGAGCCGUCCCAAUACAAGUCACUCUCACCAGAAUUUGCAUGUCAGGCUCUAUUUCCAGGGAGCUGAUCUAAAACAGUUGCUACUGGGAAGACUCCUAGAAGGCAGCCUGUAAGAACAGGAUUGGGGAAUGGGAUCACUAACUUGCUAGAUGGCAACACAAACCCCAUGGCUGGUGGUGAAAUGAGAUGGGACAUAGAUGGAAGAGAACUAGGAGCUGGUGCAAUGACUCUAACAUUUGAGAUGUAUAGGGUAAACAGCAACUGGUAGAACUCUGGAAUCGGGCAAAUAAUAUAGAGUAAAUAGUAACUAUUAGGACUCAAAAGUGACUUUUGCUAAAUUGUACCAAUGGACUAAAGAGAGAAAAUGACAGCCUCGGCUCUAUGAGUAACUCAAAGUAUGAGACUUACAGCUCCUCAUUGGCAGCAUUUAAGAGACACACAUCUCUCCAGCAGCUGAAGACCAGGUAUAUAAGCUAAUUGUAAAAGGGACAAGACUUUAAACAAGGCUGGAUUCUAAGCCUAUGUGAAUUUUCUAUGUCAAAGUUAGCAUCUUGAUAGUAGAGGAGGAGUCUCUGAAAACUUGGAACGAGGAUCUCUGGAAAGAUGCAUUUGAGAGCUGUGAACCACCUGCUUCUCUUAUACCAUCUGGAGUGGCAGAAGUGGCCCACUUCCCCUUGAUGGAAGAGAAUCCCUGCUGGGACCUGCCUUGCCUCCCCUAUUGGCCAUCAGAUCCAUAAUUAGGGUAAAAUCUCUAAUGGAGGAAGUGCUGGGUCUGCUAAGAGAAGAGAAAGCUUAUACACUAAAGGGCCUGGCUAACAUCUACUGGCAGGAACUGAGAGAAGAUGCCUAGGCAUGAAUUCUGAAGGUGAUGGAUUGUGGUGGGGGUUAGAACAUAAGACUGGAUGAGGGAUAAUCUGUCAGUAUUGGAACACACAAGAUUUAACACCCUCACAAGGGCUCCAGAAGACAGUUAUGAUAUACUGCUGUUAAUAGAGAUGACAACACUGCUUUGGCAAACUAUGGAAAAGGGAAACAUGAUGCUUGGAGAAGCAAGAAUGCUAGAAUAAACUUACUACAUCAGAAAUUGACAAACCGAGUUUCUUGAGUAAAAUAUGUCCCAUUGGUGGUUUGUGUACAGCCCAUGAACUAAAGAUGAAUUUUAUAUUUUAAGUGUUAAAAAAAAAACUUUUAAAAAGUAGUAUCUCAUGCACAGCAAAAGAAAUAAUCAGCAGAGUAAACAGACAACCCAUAGAGUGGGAGAAAAUAUUUGCAAACUAUGUAUUCAACAGAGGACUAAUAUCCAGAAUCUACAAGGAGCUCAAAUAAGUCAUCUAAAAACACAAACGAUCCCAUCAAAAAGGGGGCUAAGGACAAAAACAGACAAUUCUCAGAAGAGGAUAUACAAAUGGCCAACAAACAUUACUAAUCAUCAGGGAAAUGCAAAUCAAAACCAUAAUGCGAUACUACCUUACUCUUGCAAGAAUGCCUUAAUCAAAAAAAAAUCAAAAAAUCAUAGAUGUUGGCAUGGAUGUGCUAAAAGGGGAACACUUUCUUUUACACUGCUGGUGGGAAGGUAAACUAGUACAACCACUAUGGAAAACAGUGUGGAGAUCCCUUAAAGAACUAAAAGUAGAACUACCGUUUGAUCCAGUAAUCACACUACUGAGUAUCUACC